UAGGGAAUAUUAGAAAUGGACGAAAGUCUGAUCUAGCAACACCGCGUGUGCGAAGAAGGCCUUCGGGUUGUAAAGCACUUUUUGGAAGGAUUAGGAAGGAAUGUACUUCCAGAAUAAGUCUCGGCUAACUACGUGCCAGCAGCCGCGGUAACACGUAGGAGGCAAACGUUAUCCGGAUUUACUGGGCGUAAAGCGCGUGUAGGUGGUUCUGUAAGUAGGGCGUGAAAGCUCCUGGCUCAACUGGGAGAGGCCGUUCUAAACUGCAG
rnacentral:rRNA from 1 species